rnacentral:rRNA from 1 species
UACGUAGGUGACCAGCGUUGUCCGGAUUACUGGGCGUAAAGAGCGCGCAGGCGGUCAGAUAAGUCGAUGUGAAAGCCCCGGCUCAACUGGGAGGGUCAUUCGAUACUGUUCGACUCGAAGGCAGGAGAGGGAAGCGGAAUUCCCGGUGUAGUGGUGAAAUGCGUAGAUAUCGGGAGGAACACCAGUGGCGAAGGCGGCUUCCUGGCCUGUUCUUGACGCUGAGGCGCGAAAGCUAGGGGAGCAAACGGG